UUUGAUACCCUGUAUCUCAUACUAAUGCCA
rnacentral:piRNA from 1 species